CAAAGAAGAGGCCGACCACAGUGCGGUGCGGCCCCACAGGUGGCACAUCUCAGGCACAUAUGGUUUGUGACUCUCCGGCCUUCUCCAUACAUGUCUGCUCUUACGUACAGAGGCCCUGUCUGUCUCUAGGAGAAAACAUCAUGCUAUUUUUUACAAAAGGGCAGAAGAAACCUUCUCAAGUGACGCUAGUUACCGUCAUUCCGUGGAUCUGGAAACAGCUUCCUCCACUUUACCAAUGGUUUUCUGUACCUAGAAUUAGCUCCU
ensembl:lncRNA novel transcript